GUGUGACUUCAUUAGCUACAUUUCCAAGAGGACUCUGUUCCCUGCAAUCCCUCCUGAGAAGAGCAGCUGACCUCUUUGGAAAGCGUGAACUUCAAACACUGCUUGCAAACAACCCAUGCUCCCGGACUGGACUAAGAAAAGUUUUUUGAAAUUUAAAUGUAUGUGCAUGUACGUGAUAAACUUAAGAAAAGCAGGCUAAAUUUUCUAGGAAAAGCUACUUUGGGGGAAAAUAUUUACUUCCUCGGUGGAAAGAAGAAAAACUCCACGCUGAGUGCCAGAUUUUCCAAUACACACUUUAAUGACUGCAGAUUUAUGCACUGAGGCAGGUAGUAAAUCCCUCUUAGUAUUGAUCCAGCUUUAACUGGUGGAUGACUGAGCGGUUCUAACCUGGCAAAACAGCAUGCCCAGAAAUGUCGUGUCGCAAAAUCCCAGGCAGCGCCUUGGAGAAAAAACAGAUUUCUUCAGGUCGUCCCCAGGAACUAGCACUGAAAGGUGUCUCUGCCCUGCAUAUGGCCGUAUUGUCCAGGUAUGAACUUUGAGGAUGCAUGCGGGGGUGUAGUUUCUAAUUAAGCCAGGACGUGGGGAAUCUGUUGUAACUUCACAGCCACAUCUUCUGUUGCACUCUUAGGUGCAUCUCUUACUUAAAUGUGUGUGUGUGUGUGUGUGUGCAGAAGGGGAAGGAGAAGUAGAGGAGCUGGUGUUUUCCUUCUCCCCAGACAUCCCGUUCUUGUUACCUUCUGUGUCCUUUCAUUUUGGAGAUGUUCACCCUCCUAAAUUUAGUGACAUUUUAGACAUCUGUAUGUGACUUUGUUUUGCUGCUUUUUACCUUUUUCCAGCCUUUUCAAUACUUAGCCAGUGUUGGAAAAUGGAUAGUGCAAUAAGUGGGAUCCGUUUAAUUAUGUGCCUUCAUAAUGCUUAACAGUGGAAAUUUCAGAGCGUUACAAGUUACUGGUAAUUAAUUUUCCUCUUCUGACUUCUAUCAAGAUCAGCUUGAAACCCAUUGUGAGGGAGGGAGGGGACUUGGUCUGUGCUUCCCCUUCUGCUCUUGGCCUCCUGUGAUUUGGUCCAGACACGAAUGUGUAGCAGGAAAACAACCCCUAUUUUCAGUUCUUCAGUUUUCAAAGACAGCAAGUCCCCAGAAUCUGUUUGCAAGCAUUUUUGAGUUAAUCAAUCGAAAAACUGAACAUCCUGUCAAAAGUGACAUUUUCUUGGAUGGAAAUCGAUUUAUUUAUUUUCUUUGAAACUUCACAUUUCACGAGGAUGACUUGAGUCAGAACAUUUUUACCAGCUCCUCUGAAGACUUGGUCAUGAGGAAACCAUCAAAAUGUAUGGGAGGAAAUUUCAUAAAUAACAAGAAAUGAAGCAACGCCUAUGCAACGAAGCAGGAAAUGAGUGCUGGCAUCUGAAGCUUUGGUGCUUUACACAUCCAAGGAGGGUUAUUACUUUGUUUUAUUACUGCAGGUUGAAAACAACCCAAACCUUUCCCAAGAGGUGAAGUUCAAACCACUACAUUUGAUUUUUUUUUUUCAGCUGUCUCACUUUUUACUGGUUUAUUUUAAACUCAGUGUAUGCAUACAGCAUUGGAGGAUUUCCUCUGUAAUGGGAGGAAGCAGUUUUUGUUGUAAAAGCCUGUCUGAACUACUGGAUAUCUGGUGGUUGGAACUUCAAAGCUUUUCCCCCAAGCAGUUGGGCAUUUUUUGGUAAAUGAGGAAACUCCAGCCAUAUUCUGCAUCUUUGUCUGGAGGACUGUGUGGCUUUUUCAAUUUGCACACCCCCAGAUAUCACCUUCUGCAGCCUGAAAGUCUUGUUGGCAGUGCUGUCUGAUGGUCAGAGAAUGCUGGCAACAAAGGACACCUUUCGUUAAGCUGUGUAAUGUAUUUGGAAAAAAAAAUAGUAGUAUGGUUUUGGUUGCAAAAGCUCUUCUCGUAGUUAGAUUUCGAAGCUAAGGACAUUUGCUGACAGUUCAGUUGGAAGUGUACCCAUUAGAGCAUCUUUGAAAGAAAAUAAUAUGCUAUAAGCUGGUGCCUGUAGCAUAGUGGGAGCGUUGGCAAAGGGAGAGCUGGUGAUAAGAGUCUUAGCUCGUGGAGGAAAACGAGAGCCAGGUCCUUUAUAGCCUGUGAAACACAGUAAGGUUAGUGAGGGGCUAAGAUUAUAUUGUUCCAUGAGACUAAUAUCUUUAUUGAGUUUUAUGUUUUCUGGUUCCCAGUACAGCUAUCAGUCUUGUUCUCACGUUCGCUGUUGGGCAGGGUUUUGCAGGGCUCCUGGAGUAGCUCAGGACCGAGAGAUCAGUAAGGGAACAACGGUUUUGUCAGGUUUUCCCCCUUUAGCAGCAUGUUCCUCAUCUUCGAGUGGUCGUUUGAGCAAUUGCUGGAGCACGUCUUAAAUACAGGAGAAAAGCUCUCUCAGUCUUCAGAAGCGUGAGUUUAAAACAAUCAAUAAUUUCUGUGUUUAAAAAUGUUUGGAGAAAGUCACAAUUUCACUGUGUUUGAGAAUUCAGAAGCAGUGCUUCUGGUUCCACAGCUUAAGAAGAAUGAUACGCUGCACUGGGGAAGAGAAGUGCCAUCCUUGCUUUCCCCAUCUGCAUCUGUUCUGUCCCCAUUUAUUCCUACUGCAAGGGUCAGAAGACAUCAGCACCUUUCCUGUUAGAAACCAUCAUGCUUUCAGGUUAAAUUUAUUUAUGAAGGAGAUAGAUCCAGCCAUGCUUACGUGAACGCUGGUUUAAAGAGCCACCUCUGGCUUUUUCUGCAAGGUAAGUAUGUGGAGAAGCUGUGGACCCUCUCAGCUGUUGUUUUGCUACACAAGCACAGCAAGUUCCUUCAGUUUCUUCUCCUAAACUGGGCUGGCCACUAGCCUUCAAGUAGCCCUAGUCCAUACCUUUCCCCCCUGCCCUAGUUUUGUGCAGUGCCCACCCAAUGGCAAUCCCAUCUGUCCUUCAUUGCCAGCUGCAUGGAUUUGGCUUUUUCACAGCACCUUCAGACUGCUGCGUGGUAAUUGCACAAUCAGCCUAUCCUCCACAGCCUUCUUCAGCCAUCUUUUCAAGCAGCAAGUGAUUUUUUGUCAGCAGUUCCAAAUUACCACCAUGGACACCGCUCAGCUCCGUCCCAAGGCAUACCCCAUUAAUUCUGGCUGCAAAAUGUUCCAACUUUGCUGUGGGAUGGCAGUUCUUAUCAUCAGCAAAUCGGAUCGGCACACUCCAAAAGUCACGCAGAGGCCCUUAAUUUAAAUAAUACAGAAAAUUAUUCCCCAAACUGUUUUUUUACCUUCCAGACUGGUUCAUUCCUCCCCAGUGCAAUCUGUUGCUGUCCCUCCUUUGAGCUGAUUUCUUAGCUGCUUUCAAUUCCUCUGCUAAUCCCCAUUCUCUCCAUUUUGAGUAUUUCCCUUGUGGCAUUAUAACCAACACUUUAUUGAAGUUUGAAUAGACUCCAUUCUUGCAUGUCCUUUAUCUAAGAAAUGAGUUAUCUUUCUAGAGAAAGCUACCAACUAAUUCUUGUAUGAUCUCUCUUUGGUAAGCUCAUGCUAUGCUUUUUCUUCUUUUUGUGUUUGUCAGCCUUUUAUUGUUCUUUCCUUCAAAAGUUGUUCCUCUGCUGUCAAAUUAACAUUUUGUAAUUGCCUCCAAUUCACCCUUCUUCCUCACUUUCAUGCUCUGUAGAUUGAUAUUUUUCACUCUUAUGACACUACUGUGAGUUGCUAGAUUUAAUAAAAAUCUUCUCUGUUAGCACAGUGAUCUCAUGAGAUUUGUAUAAAAAAAAUAAAAAGGCUCCCAAGGUGGAAAGCGAGCUUCUGGUGGCAAAGGAAUUAGAGCCAAAAGAGAUCAAGAAAGUGGAUUUCCACUCCCAGAGCUCAGAAACAAAUCUCUGCCCUUUCCAUCUUCCACUGGAUGAUGUGCUCCUUGCUCUUUGCACUUGGAAGUCUGUACGUGAGGCUCAGUUAAUUCAAGCUCUUUACCUUUUGGGGUCUGGAAGGACUCAAGUUCCCUGGGAAUAGAUACAAGAUGCUUGCUUUGGGAGGGACAAAACAGGAUUUCACCUGGGAAAAAGACCAAGAUAUCUUUGUGCCAUGGUGGGCACAGCUCCCCGUGGGAAGGUUUGGGGAAGGCAGGCUUCUGAGUUGGCAGGUACUCGUUGGUCUUGAGGAGUACACUGUGCUGGACAACAAUGCUUUUACAAGCAAUCCCAGGGCUUUUUCUUCACAGUUAUUGAUGCUUUGGGGAGGGGCUGUGGGACACCAUGCUGUUUUUGUUUGUUUGUUUGUUUGUUUGUUUUUAACCAUUGUUUAUAAUUAUGUUCCACCAUUGUCUAAAGCAGGCAGUAUGCCACCGUGCUUAGUGCUGUACCAGCAUGCUGAUGAUUCCUGCCCUGAGGGAUUUCUAGUCUAAGGAUUACCAGAAUGCGAUCUGGAUUUCUUGGCUGGAGCUUGCGGAACAAGAACGAUGUAACACCAGCCAGGAGCUGCAAGCUGAAACGAGAGUUCACCGUGGAGCCAAGCAGCUGUGCUUGCUGUACACCAGGGGAUCUGCAGCAACCUGCGGUGUUACGGGGGUCAGUGUGUCGUUGUGAGAGCAUGUCCAUGUCAGAUCGCUGAAGGAUGCCCCGGCGUAUGGAGUGCCCUGUGUACGAGGUGUGUACAGGACGCAGUGGAUAAGUGCUGCUUGUACAGUCAGACAAGUGACCUUGGCCGGAGCGGUGUGUGCACAUCACGAAUGGGAGGCCGGCAGCUUUUGUCUGAUAUUCAUCUGGCUUCAGCAUCCAGAUGUUUCAUGUCACGUAUUUCUUUCCUGGUACUGAGUUCUCCUGGAGAUUCUUAUGAAGCAAAGACACGAUCCUCUUCCCAUUCCUGUUUCAGAAGACUCUGCAGGACAUCCAUUGUGCCAUAAUAAUGUGACAGUCAUUAGGAACGCAGCUGGUAUCACGAGUUCUGGUUGAUCACAAAGUCAGAAGGCUGCCAGGCUUGCUGAAACAGCAGCAGUGCUCUGUUCUGAUGUGUUUGAAUGGAAUAUGGAGAGGUUUGUGUCUGGACACCUCCAGAAGGACAAAUUUAACCCGCUCAGGUAAAAUGGAUUAGGGCAAGGUUCGACUUGUGCAGAAUUCCUUUGAACAUCUAAAGCUCCUGUUGACAGCGGCGUGCUUUGUACAUGAAUUUGGCUCAGCAAGAUGGGGAUUCUGCACUGCCGUUUCCAGAGCUCGUGCUGCCCGAAGGAUGAAAUGAAGCUGUCACUGACGGAGCCCACCAGGUUAGGGGGCUAGUAGUGGGAUGCUUGAAAGACAACAAACCUAGACAGACUGACUGCAACUCCUAAAACCAAACACAGGUGGGUAUCAUGCUCUACAGCACUGACCCCUUCCCUGGCAAAACCAUACCUGCUACCUUGUCCCAGCUGGCUGAUCCAACAGUAGACUGAAAAAAUCUAAGGACGUGGAUUGGACUGGAUCUUCUCUGCCUUUUUUUCCAGAGGCAAAGGCACAUCACCCCAUUUCUUCUGAGUGACCCACACCUUCCAUUCAAGCACCCAGAUAACUGCCCAGGUUUCCAUGAGACCUCCAUUUCCAACAGGACUUGAAGCACCAUGGAAGAAUUAUCAGAAAGCUUUCUGGAGAGCUUGGACCUGCAUCCAGCCCCAGUUUUGGUCCAGGAGCAUGCAGCAGCUGCAGAAGAGCAGCCUCCUCUCCACUGCCACUGCACAGCUAAGAAGCUGAAUUUCUGUCCCUGCCUAUCCCCAAGGAAAAGAAGGCUGUGAGGUCUCUUAAGGAAUCUGCUCCUAUGUAUUUGGCCAACGUGUGGCACUUCUCUCUUCACUGAAGCAGACUUAAGGCUUCCUGGAGAUCCCUCAUAGAUAGCUGGAUGGAGCAGCAGUGACAACUCUUCCGUGUCCAGCAGGCAGCAGUAAUUAAUCUGUUUAGUGAUGUGCUCUGGGUCAAUGGCUUUGUCCUGCAAGAAAAAG